GACCCACAAUAAACCCAACCAAGGCAAACACCUGGCCAGCACUAGGACCCACAAUAAACCCAACCAAGGCAAACACCUGGCCAGCACUGGGAGGACCCACAAUAAACCCAACCAAGGCAAACACCUGGCCAGCACUAGGACCCACAAUAAACCCAACCAAGGCAAACACCUGGCCAGCACUAAGACCCACAAUAAACCCAACCAAGGCAAACCAAUAAACCCAACCAAGGCAAACCAAUAAACCCAACCAAGGCAAACACCUGGCCAGCAAGGAGAGAGUGGUGACUUACCAGGAUGAUAGCCAGGAGAGAAUCGCCUUGGAAGGAUGUAGUUUAGGAUGCAGGAUAGGGUGCCCAGGUAUAUCACAGUAGACAGCAGUCUGCUCAGAUAAUGCCUCAGAGCAGGAUAGGGUGCCCAGGUAUAUCACAGUAGACAGCAGUCUGCUCAGAUAAUGCCUCAGAGCAGGAUAGGGUGCCCAGGUAUAUCACAGUAGACAGCAGUCUGCUCAGAUAAUGCCUCAGAGCAGGAUAGGGUGCCCAGGUAUAUCACAGCAGUCUGCUCAGAUAAUGCCUCAGAGCAGGAUAGGGUGCCCAGGUAUAUCACAGCAGUCUGCUCAGAUAAUGCCUCAGAGCAGGAUAGGGUGCCCAGGUAUAUCACAGUAGACAGCAGUCUGCUCAGAUAAUGCCUCAGAGCAGGAUAGGGUGCCCAGGUAUAUCACAGUAGACAGCAGUCUGCUCAGAUAAUGCCUCAGAGCAGGAUAGGGUGCCCAGGUAUAUCACAGUAGACAGCAGUCUGCUCAGAUAAUGCCUCAGAGCAGGAUAGGGUGCCCAGGUAUAUCACAGUAGACAGCAGUCUGCUCAGAUAAUGCCUCAGAGCAGGAUAGGGUGCCCAGGUAUAUCACAGCAGUCUGCUCUCUC